AACAACGUUUCCGUAGAUGAACUGCGGAAGGAUCAUUAA
rnacentral:rRNA from 1 species